rnacentral:rRNA from 1 species
GACGAACCGUCCAAACGUUAUUCGGAAUCACUGGGCUUAAAGGGCGCGUAGGCGGCCGAGCGGGUCACGGGUGAAAUCCUCCAGCUUAACUGGAGAACUGCCCUUGAUACCACUGCGGCUCGAGGAAGGAAGGGGCAAUCGGAACUGUCGGUGGAGCGGUGAAAUGCGUUGAUAUCGACAGGAACGCCGGUGGCGAAAGCGGAUUGCUGGUCCUUUUCCGACGCUGAGGCGCGAAAGCCAGGGGAGCAAACGGG